UACAGAGGUGGCAAGCGUUGUUCGGAAUUACUGGGCGUAAAGCGUGCGCAGGCGGUUAUGUAAGACAGGUGGGAAAUCCCCGGGCUUAACCUGGGAACUGCAUUUGUGACUGCAUAGCUAGAGUACGGUAGAGGGGGAUGGAAUUCCGCGUGUAGCAGUGAAAUGCGUAGAUAUGCGGAGGAACACCGAUGGCGAAGGCAAUCCCCUGGACCUGUACUGACGCUCAUGCACGAAAGCGUGGGGAGCAAACAGG
rnacentral:rRNA from 1 species